ACGCUGGCGGCAGGCUUAACACAUGCAAGUCGAACGGUAACAUAAAGAAGCUUGCUUCUUUGAUGACGAGUGGCGGACGGGUGAGUAAUGCUUGGGAAUCUAGCUUAUGGAGGGGGAUAACUACGGGAAACUGUAGCUAAUACCGCGUAAUAUCGAAAGAUUAAAGUGUGGGACCUUCGGGCCACAUGCCAUAGGAUGAGCCCAAGUGGGAUUAGGUAGUUGGUGAGGUAAAGGCUCACCAAGCCGACGAUCUCUAGCUGGUCUGAGAGGAUGACCAGCCACACUGGGACUGAGACACGGCCCAGGCUCCUACGGGAGGCAGCAGUGGGGAAUAUUGCGCAAUGGGGGCAACCCUGACGCAGCCAUGCCGCGUGAAUGAAGAAGGCCUUCGGGUUGUAAAGUUCUUUCGGUAGCGAGGAAGGCAUUUAGUUUAAUAGACUAGGUGAUUGACGCUAACUACAGAAGAAGCACCGGCUAACUCCGUGCCAGCAGCCGCGGUAAUACGGAGGGUGCGAGCGUUAAUCGGAAUAACUGGGCGUAAAGGGCACGCAGGCGGUGACUUAAGUGAGGUGUGAAAGCCCCGGGCUUAACCUGGGAAUUGCAUUUCAUACUGGGUCGCUAGAGUACUUUAGGGAGGGGUAGAAUUCCACGUGUAGCGGUGAAAUGCGUAGAGAUGUGGAGGAAUACCGAAGGCGAAGGCAGCCCCUUGGGAAUGUACUGACGCUCAUGUGCGAAAGCGUGGGGAGCAAACAGGAUUAGAUACCCUGGUAGUCCACGCUGUAAACGAUGUCGAUUUGGGGGUUGAGCUUUGAGCUUGGCCGCCCGUAGCUAACGUGAUAAAUCGACCGCCUGGGGAGUACGGCCGCAAGGUUAAAACUCAAAUGAAUUGACGGGGGCCCGCACAAGCGG
rnacentral:rRNA from 1 species